GCGUGGGAAUCUGCCCUUGGGUGCGGAAUAACUUCCCGAAAGGGAUGCUAAUACCGCAUAAUGUCGCAAGACCAAAGAUUUAUCGCCCAAGGAUGAGCCCGCGUAGGAUUAGCUAGUUGGUGGGGUAAAAGCCUACCAAGGCGACGAUCCUUAGCUGGUCUGAGAGGAUGAUCAGCCACACUGGGACUGAGACACGGCCCAGACUCCUACGGGAGGCAGCAGUGGGGAAUAUUGGACAAUGGGCGAAAGCCUGAUCCAGCAAUGCCGCGUGAGUGAUGAAGGCCUUAGGGUUGUAAAGCUCUUUUACCCGGGAUGAUAAUGACAGUACCGGGAGAAUAAGCUCCGGCUAACUCCGUGCCAGCAGCCGCGGUAAUACGGAGGGAGCUAGCGUUGUUCGGAAUUACUGGGCGUAAAGCGCGCGUAGGCGGUUUUUUAAGUCAGAGGUGAAAGCCCGGGGCUCAACCCCGGAAUUGCCUUUGAAACUGGAAAACUUGAAUCUUGGAGAGGUCAGUGGAAUUCCGAGUGUAGAGGUGAAAUUC
rnacentral:rRNA from 1 species